ACAACAUUCGGACCGUCGCACCGAGCAAUAUCACCCGCUCGGUGGAAGAUCUUCCUUUCGUCGU
rnacentral:pre_miRNA from 1 species